rnacentral:rRNA from 1 species
AUGCUCUCCUCCAUGCCAAUCUUCCUGCUGACGGCUUUAAAGGCUGACAAAGGCAUCCUCAGGGCCUUUGCGAAGAUCAGUCGUGGCAUGCUCUGGGCCUGUAAGGAGGCGGUUAGUGGAGGGAAAUGCAAAGUCAACUGGCAAAAGGUCUGCCGCCCCAAGGAGCUCGGUGGUUUGGGGGUUCUGGACCUGGAGAGGUUCUCCCGGGCCCUGAGGCUUCGCUGGUUAUGGUAUGAGUGGAAGGCUCCUGAGAAGCCAUGGGCGGGC